GACGAACGCUGGCGGCGUGCCUAACACAUGCAAGUGGAGCGACGAACCGGGGCUUGCCCCGGGGCAGAGCCGCGAACGGGUGAGUAACACGUGGGUUACCUGCCCCGAUGACUGGGACAACCCGUCGAAAGACGGGCUAAUACCGGAUGUGCCCUUUGGGGGAAAGGAAGCUUCGGCCUCCGCAUCGGGAUGGGCCCGCGGCGCAUUAGCUUGUUGGUGGGGUAAUGGCUUACCAAGGCGACGAUGCGUAGCUGGUCUGAGAGGACGAUCAGCCACACUGGGACUGAGACACGGCCCAGACUCCUACGGGAGGCAGCAGUGGGGAAUCUUGCACAAUGCGCGAAAGCGUGAUGCAGCAACGCCGCGUGCGGGAAGAAGGCCUUAGGGUUGUAAACCGCUUUCAGUUGGGACGAAGCUUCAGUCGUUAAUAGCGGUUUGGAGUGACGGUACCUUCAGAAGAAGCGCCGGCUAACUACGUGCCAGCAGCCGCGGUAAUACGUAGGGCGCGAGCGUUGUCCGGAAUCAUUGGGCGUAAAGCGCGUGUAGGCGGCUGAGUAAGUCUGCUGUGAAAGUCCAGGGCUCAACCCUGGAAUGUCGGCGGAUACUGCUCAGCUGGAGUACGGGAGGGGCGAGUGGAAUUCCUGGUGUAGCGGUGGAAUGCGCAGAUAUCAGGAGGACACCUAUGGCGAAG
rnacentral:rRNA from 1 species